rnacentral:rRNA from 1 species
CAAAGGAAUUGACGGGACCCGCACAAGCGGUGGAUGAUGUGGAUUAAUUCGAUGCAACGCGAAAACCUUACCUACCCUUGACAUGUCCGGAAUCCCGAAGAGAUUUGGGAGUGCUCGCAAGAGAACCGGAACACAGGUGCUGCAUGGCUGUCGUCAGCUCGUGUCGUGAGAUGUUGGGUUAAGUCCCGCAACGAGCGCAACCCUUGCCAUUAGUUGCCAUCAUUUGGUUGGGCACUCUAAUGAGACUGCCGGUGACAAACCGGAGGAAGGUGGGGAUGACGUCAAGUCCUCAUGGCCCUUAUGGGUAGGGCUUCACACGUCAUACAAUGGUCGGUACAGAGGGUUGCCAACCCGCGAGGGGGAGCUAAUCCCACAAAGCCGAUCGUAGUCCGGAUCGCAGUCUGCAACUCGACUGCGUGAAGUCGGAAUCGCUAGUAAUCGUGGAUCAGCAUGUCACGGUGAAUACGUUCCCGGGUCUU